rnacentral:rRNA from 1 species
GAUGAACGCUAGCUACAGGCUUAACACAUGCAAGUCGAGGGGCAGCAUGGUCUUAGCUUGCUAAGGCCGAUGGCGACCGGCGCACGGGUGAGUAACACGUAUCCAACCUGCCGUCUACUCUUGGACAGCCUUCUGAAAGGAAGAUUAAUACAAGAUGGCAUCAUGAGUCCGCAUGUUCACAUGAUUAAAGGUAUUCCGGUAGACGAUGGGGAUGCGUUCCAUUAGAUAGUAGGCGGGGUAACGGCCCACCUAGUCUUCGAUGGAUAGGGGUUCUGAGAGGAAGGUCCCCCACAUUGGAACUGAGACACGGUCCAAACUCCUACGGGAGGCAGCAGUGAGGAAUAUUGGUCAAUGGGCGAGAGCCUGAACCAGCCAAGUAGCGUGAAGGAUGACUGCCCUAUGGGUUGUAAACUUCUUUUAUAAAGGAAUAAAGUCGGGUAGGGAUACCCGUUUGCAUGUACUUUAUGAAUAAGGAGCGGCUAACUCCGUG